UUUUACCAUUGCGCAGCAAAGUUGAAGAGAAGAGACAUUAGCCGAUCCAAUACAAGCAUAAUAUGUGUGCGUGCAUCCUAAAAACCACACCUGUUAUAUGCUAAAUGGGAAAGUAAAGUCCUCAAAGAAAGAACUGUUGUUGACUGAGUUCCUGGGCUCUGACCGGCCUACCAGUGCAAGUGAUCCCUUCCACAGUCUUUUGAUAACUCACAUUCCAAAUCCUACAGCGGGAUUUUGUAAAAUCACGAAAUACAUCAGUAUGUUUUGUGUCUACAUCUUGGCAGCACCGUUUUGGCAAUUACAUCCAACUCAGACCGAAAUUGUGACCGGGUAUAUAUCUGUUUCACAUGUAUAUGCAUAGAUUCAAUAAAAAUAAUAACAACAAAUACUUAAAACAGGUUGAAAUAAUGACUAAAUUGCAGCAUUGCUUUGCAAUCACUUAACCACACUGGGCUCUUUUUGAUUAUAAUUUUUUUUUUAAACAAGAUAAAGUGAAUAUAUUUACUUUGUAAAUAAUUUUUUUUUUCCUGCUAGUCUUGCUUGGACAUCUUUUCACAAACCAUGAGGAGACGUGAAAGACGUCAGUGGACGUCUAUUCACAACCUCUUUAAAACCACUUAAAAACUACUUGGUGCUCUUUAAUUAAAUAUUGCAGUAUUAAUCAAGGUGUAAGCACAGCUUUUGCAUAUUCCACAAGGAUUUCACAGAGGGUCAUGAUGGACGUGUAACGCACGUGUAAAUGACGUCACUAGGUGACGUCCUCUCACAACCGAUUCACAACGUGGGUAAAUAUUGAACUACACGUAUCUAAAAGUCAAAGAAACAAUUAUAGAUGAAACCCCAUAGAACUAUAAACGUGUACAAACAUAUCUGAAUGCAUUUUUGAGGAAGUGUUCUGUGUUACAUAUUUCUACCGAUUUAUGCCGUCCUACCGCGACUAUUUUUGGCCGGCCACACGACGUCGCCGUCGGACCAAUGUUUACUGGGAGUCGAG